ACGGAGCAGGGCCGAAUAGAGUCAAGUCUAUUGAUUUGCGCUAUGGUAGCAUUUUCCGGCAAGGCAGAAUAGAUCGUCAGAACACCGGCAACAGUUCAAUCCUAUCCUAACAAUCCUAAAAGAUGCAACUCCGACUCUGUUUGGGCCUGGAAAUUCACAAUCACAACCUGCUGAACCCAGCUGAUCUGUUCAAUCACCCAGGAGCACUGAGGCAGGACCCUGUAAAAGGCCAAUGUCGGGGAGGAGCUGAGACCUAACAGGGGUACUGGAUGCUUGCACGUCUAACGUGGACCCUCACUGGUGGAGCUGUUGCAUAACAUGAAAGUCAGUGUGGCCAGAGAUGGCUUAGUGGUUCCUGGCAUUGCAACCACAUUGCUUGCCUGAGUGAAAGCAAGGCCACCCAAAAGAGAAAAAGACACAGAGAGAAACAGCACUAGUUUACCUCGAGGUUGCUCCCAAACUUGUUAUGGACUACACAAAUGUCGUGUUCUCUUGGUUUUCUUCUAUAUUUAUCACACUAAUUCCUUUGUUACCUUGACCCAGUGUAAAUAAACACCAGUGAAAGAUA